rnacentral:rRNA from 1 species
AUACGGAGGGUGCAAGCGUUAAUCGGAAUUACUGGGCGUAAAGCGUACGUAGGCGGUUAUUUAAGUCAGAUGUGAAAGCCCCGGGCUUAACUUGGGAACUGCAUUUGAAACUGGGUAACUAGAGUUUAGUAGAGGGGAGUGGAAUUUCAGGUGUAGCGGUGAAAUGCGUAGAGAUCUGAAGGAACACCAGUGGCGAAGGCGACUCCCUGGACUAAAACUGACGCUGAGGUACGAAAGCGUGGGUAGCAAACAGGAUUAGAAACCCGUGUAGUCC